CCGGUGCCUGGGCCGGUGUCGCACCCGCGAGUGUCGUCCUCGUGGGACGGACGCGGGCUCGGCUCCGGCGCACCGGGC
rnacentral:tRNA from 1 species